rnacentral:rRNA from 1 species
GACGAACGCUGGCGGCGUGCUUAACACAUGCAAGUCGAACGGAAAGGCCCUGCUUUUGUUGGGUGCUCGAUUGGCGAACGGGUGAGUAACACGUGAGUAACCUUCCCUUGACUUUGUGAUAACUUCAGGAAACUGGGGCUAUUACCGGAUAUGAGCUCCUGCUGCGUGUUGUUGGUUGGUAAAUUUCGGCGUUUGUGGAAGGAAUCGCUGCUUAUCCGCUGGUUGGUGGGUUAGUGGCUUACAAAGGCUGUGACGGGUAGCCUGCCUGAGAGGGUUACCGGCCACAUUGGGACUGAGAGACGGCCCAGACGCCAACGGGAGGCAGCAGUGGGGAAUAUUGCAGAAUGGGCGGAAGCCUGAUGCAGCAACGCCGCGUGCGGGAUGACGGCCUUCGGGUUGAAAAACGCUUUCGCCUGUGACGAAGCGUGGGUGACGGUAAUGAGUAAAGAAGCACCGGCUAACUACGUG